rnacentral:rRNA from 1 species
AGAGUUUGAUCAUGGCUCAGGAUGAACGCUAGCGGCAGGCCUAACACAUGCAAGUCGAGGGGCAGCAUAUCGCUUCGGUGAUGAUGGCGACCGGCGCACGGGUGAGUAUCGCGUUUGUAACCUACCCUUAACUGGGGAAUAGCCCGAAGAAAUUCGGAUUAAUACCCCAUAAUAUUUAAGCAAGGCAUCUUGCUUUCAUUAAAGCUCCGGCGGUUAAGGAUGGGCAUGCGUGACAUUAGUUUGUUGGUAAGGUAACGGCUUACCAAGACUACGAUGUCUAGGGGGUCUGAGAGGAUGAUCCCCCACACUGGUACUGAGACACGGACCAGACUCCUACGGGAGGCAGCAGUGAGGAAUAUUGGUCAAUGGACGCAAGUCUGAACCAGCCAUGCCGCGUGCAGGAUGACGGCUCUAUGAGUUGUAAACUGCUUUUAUAUAGGAAGAAACCCUUCUACGUGUAGAAGGUUGACGGUACUGUAAGAAUAAGCAUCGGCUAACUCCGUGCCAGCAGCCGCGGUAAUACGGAGGAUGCAAGCGUUAUCCGGAUUCAUUGGGUUUAAAGGGUGCGUAGGCGGGGCAAUCAGUCAGUGGUGAAAUCCUGCGGCUUAACCGUAGAACUGCCAUUGAUACUGUUGCCCUUGAGUAUAGUUGAAGUGGGCGGAAUAUGUAAUGUAGCGGUGAAAUGCAUAGAUAUUACAUAGAACACCGAUUGCGAAGGCAGCUCACUAAGCUAUCACUGACGCUGAGGCACGAAAGCGUGGGGAGCGAACAGGAUUAGAUACCCUGGUAGUCCACGCCGUAAACUAUGAUCACUCGUUGUUGGCAAUACAUCGUCAGCGACUGAGCGAAAGCAUUAAGUGAUCCACCUGGGGAGUACGGUCGCAAGAUUGAAACUCAAAGGAAUUGACGG